AUUCCAGUGGAUGCAGCUUUUCUUUGUCCUUGGCAAAUUUGUUUUUAUUGGUUAUAAAACGUUUUUUAAAAAGAGAAAGCAACCAAAAAACAACGGGUGAGCUACAAAGGAGUUAGAGGCUCCUAGCAAGAGGAAUAAGAAGGAAUAUGUAUGUGAUGGGAGAGGCAGUGUUUUUAAAAUCAUAUUGGUAGGAGACAUUCAGUUGAGAGAUGAGAACCAGAAAACCGAGGUGGAGUCAAAGACUCUCCAAAAGAAGAGAAAAGAGAAGACGUCGGAUGAUGCCCCAAAUAAGAGAAAGAUGGAAAAGACUAUCAGUAGAAGAACUGAGGGCAGGCUUAAGAGAGCAGCCACUAAAAGACCCUCGGACUGGACCGGUGACAGUGGGAGGAGUAAGAAAAAGAAAGAGGAGGAACAAUAUGACAGUCCAGACAAGGGACCCAGCAUGCCCAUCAGUACCAUCAUAGAGGUGUCAGUUUGACGGUCCAUAAGAGGUUUCAUACAACUGAAGAAACAGGCAACAAAAAGAAGAGAUCAGCAGCUCUGACAUUCUUAAGAUCGCACACCAAAAAACAGACAAUAAUAGAUGCCACUCAGGAAGAGACUGCCGUAGAUCAACAACAACACAGCUGUGAAACGCUGAUAUGCCAACGCCAUCAAAUUACUGAGGUUUCUGUCCAGUGCUGCCUCGGUGAUGGAGGUUAUCCCGCUCGAACCUGGCUUUUGACUUCAAUUUAUAAGCCUGCUCGAAGACAGGAUUUUAUUUAUAACAAAGCCCAUAUUGCCACAAGAAGUAUAAUUGAAAGAACUUAUGGAAUGCUUAAAAUUCAGUUCUGUAGUUUGGAUAAGUCAGGUGGCACCCGUUUACUGUAUAUGGCCCUCACAAAGUAUGCCAUAUUUUUCCAACCUGCUGUGUUCUUCAUAAAAUUUGUUUAAGACACAAACUUCAAAUGGUUGUUGGACAACAAAACCACCCUGAUCCAGAGGUUUCUCCCUCCCUAAUUUAAUUAGAACUAUUUUCCCUCAGAAUUGAUUUAUAUGCUCCAACAGUCUAAAAAGAAUGUUCAGGAGUACAAAAUAAAAAUAAUUUAUUAGGGCGAAUAGUGUAUUAUUUUAAAACUGUGUAACAGUUGUGGUAUAUUUAGCUAAAAUAAUGAAUACUGUUCUUUAGUAUAAAAAAUGUAAAAUAAUUUAUACAGUAUGUAAAAAUAUACAGUAUUUUAAUAGGUUAAAUGUUAUACAGUCUACUUUCCUAGGUGAUGUUAUAAGAGCCUUACAUUAUCUUAGAUGUUUAAUUGUAUGGCUUCUUUUAGAUCCAUCAAACUAUUCAAUUCUACUCACUGUUAAUUCAGCGAAUGCCCGUUCUCCCGGACUUAACACACAGGUUGAUUUGUCGGGAGAACGGGCAUUCUCCGACUUAAUUGCCCGGCGUGAUGCUGAUUUCCUACAGAAUCUGCAUUGCGACGGCCAUAUGGCAGCACUUUUGUGUCGGAUUUCUGCUUGUACUCCCCAGGGGUGUGAGAAUAAAUUCCAACAAUUAAGGGUCACAUGGCGCUGUAUCGAAUAGCACUGGGAGCUAAUUCCCGGCGCUAAUCAACUGUCGGCAAAUUGAAGUGACCCCUAUAUUUUUUGGGGGGUUUUAUUUUUUUUUAUUAUGUAUUUCAAUUAUUUGCAUUGAUAUUUGCGUUUAUUAAUAUAUUGUAUGAACAAA